UCACCCCUCAAGCUCAGCUUGGUCUUGGGUGCUCGUCCUCCUCCCCCGGGAGAGGGCGCGCCCGAAAUUCAGCGGCGGUGCGGCCGAACCCCCUAGCGCAGUGACUUGUUUUCAAACGCUACAAGGAGUUCGAGUUCGUCCCGGCCGGACAACAACCAAAUUUUACCAC
rnacentral:misc_RNA from 1 species